CUCACCCGUGGCGGCCGGUACGCUGGCCGCGCUCCAGCGAAAUGAGGUAGGCAGCGAGUUUGGCGUCGCUCCAGCCGCUGCGCCGUCUCAGGUCCACCCAGGGGCCGUGCGCCUCGCCCAGGUACACGCGCCGCACGUCGUACUUCUUCCGGGACUCGAGCCGCCUCCGGGCCCGGUCCGACUCUGUGAGCCGCGGUCGGCCCCGCGCCUUUCGACCCGCCGCGCCCUCCUCUGCCGCCGUCUCCCCGCCUGCCCCCGCCCCCGCCUCCGCCCCGGGCUCUGGAGCCCGCUCCGCCAUCCCCCCCCACCCUGGUUACCGGCCUCCCCCGUUGUUAGGAGCCUCAACCGGAAGUGGCGCGCCUAGUCUGCGCCGCCGGGAGAUUUCUCACAGGUUCUCCACUGCCCGCGGCGCCAAACGAGGGACAGUUAGCCGGAGCUGCGCAUGCGCCGGCCAGGAAGACACACUCCAGUUACGGGGCUACUUGGGAAGUCAAGGCAGCCAUGGUGAUGGCUCUGCGGGUAAAGGCGAAUCCUGCCAAACCUGGCAAUCUGAGUUCCAUUUGCAGGACUCAGGGUGGAAAGGCAGAACUGACUCCAGCAAAUAGUCUUCUCACCUCCACACACCCCUCCCACACCACAAAUACAUCAACGGAGUUUAAAGCUCAGACUCAACUCUGACCCUGCUGCUGCUGUGCCUGAAAGGCCUCAUCUUCCUCCUGGCCCUUGGGAGGGCUGUGGGGAGGGGACUGUUCCUCCUGCCUCGAGAUUGUCAGCAGCUCCCCCGUGGACCUGGCCAGGC